rnacentral:rRNA from 1 species
UACGAAGGGUGCAAGCGUUACUCGGAAUUACUGGGCGUAAAGCGUGCGUAGGCGGUUUGUUAAGUCUGUCGUGAAAGCCCCGGGCUCAACCUGGGAAUGGCGAUGGAUACUGGCGAGCUAGAGUACGAUAGAGGAGAGUGGAAUUCCCGGUGUAGCGGUGAAAUGCGUAGAGAUCGGGAGGAACAUCAGUUGCGAAGGCGGCUCUCUGGACCAGUACUGACGCUGAGGCACGAAAGCGUGGGGAGCAAACAGG